UACGAGGGGGGCGAGCGUUGUUCGGAAUUAUUGGGCGUAAAGGGUGCGUAGGCGGUUCCGCAAGUCCUGUGUGAAAUCUUCGGGCUCAACUCGAAGUCUGCACGGGAAACUGCGGGGCUUGAGUGUGGGAGAGGUGAGUGGAAUUCCAGGUGUAGCGGUGAAAUGCGUAGAUAUCUGGAGGAACACCGGUGGUGUAAACGGCUUUCUGGACCAUAACUGACGCUGAGGCACGAAAGCGUGGGUAGCAAACAGG
rnacentral:rRNA from 1 species